ACGCUCGACACCAGGCAGCAGUAGGGAAUCUUCCACAAUGGACGCAAGUCUGAUGGAGCAACGCCGCGUGAGUGAAGAAGGUCUUCGGAUCGUAAAACUCUGUUGUUAGAGAAGAACACGAGUGAGAGUAACUGUUCAUUCGAUGACGGUAUCUAACCAGCAAGUCACGGCUAACUACGUGACAGCAGCCGCGGUAAUCUGAGCGGGCUGGCAAGGC
rnacentral:rRNA from 1 species